GGGGCUAAACCAUGCACCGAAGCUGCGGCAGCGAACGUAUCACCCAAGACAACUUUACGGAGUUGACGAUUGACGGAGCGAAGCGACGUCAAAGCGUUCAUUAAAGUCGAGUUGGCUUAGGGAUACGUUCGUUGGGUAGGGGAGCGUUCUGUAAGCCUGUGAAGGUGUGUCGUGAGGCAUGCUGGAGGUAUCAGAAGUGCGAAUGCUGACAUAAGUAACGAUAAAGCGGGUGAAAAGCCCGCUCGCCGGAAGACCAAGGGUUCCUGUCCAACGUUAAUCGGGGCAGGGUGAGUCGACCCCUAAGGCGAGGCCGAAAGGCGUAGUCGAUGGGAAACGGGUUAAUAUUCCCGUACUUGGUGUUACUGCGAAGGGGGGACGGAGAAGGCUAUGUUGGCCGGGCGACGGUUGUCCCGGUUUAAGCGUGUAGGUGUGUGUUCCAGGUAAAUCCGGUUCACUUUAACACUGAGGCGUGACGACGAGGCACUACGGUGCUGAAGCAACAAAUGCCCUGCUUCCAGGAAAA
rnacentral:rRNA from 1 species